rnacentral:rRNA from 1 species
GUGGGGAAUAUUGGACAAUGGGCGAAAGCCUGAUCCAGCCAUGCCGCGUGAGUGAUGAAGGCCUUAGGGUUGUAAAGCUCUUUCGCCGAGGACGAUAAUGACGGUACUCGGAUAAGAAGCCCCGGCUAACUUCGUGCCAGCAGCCGCGGUAAUACGAAGGGGGCUAGCGUUGUUCGGAAUUACUGGGCGUAAAGCGUAUGUAGGCGGGUCGUUAAGUUAGGGGUGAAAUCCCAAGGCUCAACCUUGGAACUGCCUUUGAAACUCCUGUUCUUGAGUUCGAGAGAGGUGAGUGGAAUUCCGAGUGUAGAGGUGAAAUUCGUAGAUAUUCGGAGGAACACCAGUGGCGAAGGCGGCUCACUGGCUCGAUACUGACGCUGAGGUGCGAAAGCGUGGGGAGCAAACAGGAUUAGAUACCCGAGUAGUCC